rnacentral:snRNA from 1 species
AUGCUUACUUCGGCAGCACAUGUACUAAAAAUUGGAACAAUACAGAGAAGGUUAGCAUGGCCCCUGAGCAAGGAUGACAUGCAAAUUCAUGAAGCAAUCCAUAUUUUU